GACGAACGCUGGCGGCGUGCCUAAUACAUGCAAGUAGGACGCAGUUGCGAACGGGUGAGUAACGCGUAGGUAACUACCUAUUAGAGGGGGAUAACUAUUGGAAACGAUAGCUAAUACCGCAUACUAGUAGAUGGACCUGCGUUGUAUUAGCUAGUAGGUAGGGUAAUGGCCUACCUAGGAAACGAUACAUUGCCGACCUGUGAGGGUGAUCGGGUACACUGGUACUGAGACACGGCCAAGACUCCGUCGGGUGUCAGCAGUAGGGAUUCGUCGGCAAUGGGGGGAACCCUGACCUAGCAACGCCGCUUGAGUGAAGAAGGUUUUCGGAUCGUAAAGCUCUUUUGUUAAGGAAGCGGUACUUAACCAGAAAGGGACGGCUAACUACGGGCCAGCAGCCGCGGUAAUAC
rnacentral:rRNA from 1 species